rnacentral:rRNA from 1 species
GACGAACGCUGGCGGCGUGCCUAAUACAUGCAAGUAGAACGCUGAAGAGAGGAGCUUGCUCUUCUUGGAUGAGUUGCGAACGGGUGAGUAACGCGUAGGUAACCUGCCUUGUAGCGGGGGAUAACUAUUGGAAACGAUAGCUAAUACCGCAUAACAAUGGAUGACACAUGUCAUUUAUUUGAAAGGGGCAAUUGUUCCACUACAAGAUGGACCUGCGUUGUAUUAGCUAGUAGGUGAGGUAAUGGCUCACCUAGGCGACGAUGCAUAUCCGAGCUGAGAGGCUGAUCGGGACACACUGGGACUGAGACACGGGCCCAGACUCCUACGGGAGACAGCAGUUAGGAAUAUUCG